CGUAACAAGGUCUCCGUUGGUGAACCAGCGGAGGGAUCAUUACAGAGUUGCAAAACUCCCACAAACCAUCGCGAAUCUUACCCGUACGGUUGCCUCGGCGCUGGCGGUCCGGAAGGCCCUCGGGCCCCCCGGAUCCUCGGGUCUCCCGCUCGCGGGAGGCUGCCCGCCGGAGUGCCGAAACCAAACUCUUGAUAUUUUAUGUCUCUCUGAGUAAACUUUUAAAUAAGUCAAAACUUUCAACAACGGAUCUCUUGGUUCUGGCAUCGAUGAAGAACGCAGCGAAAUGCGAUAAGUAAUGUGAAUUGCAGAAUUCAGUGAAUCAUCGAAUCUUUGAACGCACAUUGCGCUCGCCAGUAUUCUGGCGAGCAUGCCUGUUCGAGCGUCAUUUCAACCAUCAAGCUCUGCUUGCGUUGGGGAUCCGCGGCUGCCCGCGGUCCCUCAAAAACAGUGGCGGGCUCGCUAGUCACACCGAGCGUAGUAACUCUACAUCGCUAUGGUCGUGCGGCGGGUUCUUGCCGUAAAACCCCCCAAUUUCUAAGGUUGACCUCGGAUCAGGUAGAAAUACCCGCUGAACUUAAGCAUAUCAAUAAGCGG
rnacentral:rRNA from 1 species